GAUGAACGCUGGCGGCGUGCCUAAUACAUGCAAGUCGAGCGAACAGACGAGGAGCUUGCUCCUCUGACGUUAGCGGCGGACGGGUGAGUAACACGUGGAUAACCUACCUAUAAGACUGGGAUAACUUCGGGAAACCGGAGCUAAUACCGGAUAAUAUAUUGAACCGCAUGGCUCAAUAGUGAAAGACGGUUUUGCUGUCACUUAUAGAUGGAUCCGCGCCGCAUUAGCUAGUUGGUAAGGUAACGGCUUACCAAGGCAACGAUGCGUAGCCGACCUGAGAGGGUGAUCGGCCACACUGGAACUGAGACACGGUCCAGACUCCUACGGGAGGCAGCAGUAGGGAAUCUUCCGCAAUGGGCGAAAGCUUGACGGAGCAACGCCGCGUGAGUGAUGAAGGUCUUCGGAUCGUAAAACUCUGUUAUUAGGGAAGAACAAAUGAGUAAGUAACUAUGCACGUCUUGACGGUACCUAAUCAGAAAGCCACGGCUAACUACGUG
rnacentral:rRNA from 1 species